rnacentral:tRNA from 1 species
ACGAACCGUAGGUGCGUAACAAGUUAGUGAUGAUAAUCAAUGACUUGUUAGACGCAGUUGAUUCAAAAUCAACCGUAGAAAUACGUGCCGGUUCGAGUCCGGCCUUCGUACCA